rnacentral:rRNA from 1 species
CGCGUCCCAUUAGCUAGUUGGUGAGGUAACGGCCCACCAAGGCGACGAUGGGUAGCCGGCCUGAGAGGGUGUACGGCCACACUGGGACUGAGACACGGCCCAGACUCCUACGGGAGGCAGCAGUAGGGAAUUUUCGGCAAUGGGCGGAAGCCUGACCGAGCAACGCCGCGUGAGGGAAGAAGGUCUUCGGAUCGUAAACCUUUGUCAUCGGGGACGAUAAUGACGGUAGCCAAGGAGGAAGCUCCGGCUAACUACGUGCCAGCAGCCGCGGUAAUACGUAGGGAGCGAGCGUUGUCCGGAUUUACUGGGUGUAAAGGGUGCGUAGGCGGCUCUGCAAGUCAGGUGUGAAAACCAUCGGCUUAACUGAUGGACUGCAUUUGAAACUGUGGGGCUUGAGUGGAGUAGAGGCAGACGGAAUUCCCGGUGUAGCGGUGAAAUGCGUAGAGAUCGGGAAGAACACCAGUGGCGAAGGCGGUCUGCUGGGCUCUAACUGACGCUGAGGCACGAAAGCAUGGGUAGCAAACAGGAUUAGAUACCCUGGUAGUCCAUGCCGUAAYCGAUGUUUACUAGGUGUGGGGAGUCUGACCCUCUCCGUGCCGGAGUUAACACAAUAAGUAAUCCACCYUGG